rnacentral:rRNA from 1 species
CCUACGGGUGGCAGCAGUGAGGAAUAUUGGUCAAUGGGCGUAAGCCUGAACCAGCCAAGCCGCGUGAGGGAUGACGGUUCUAUGGAUCGUAAACCUCUUUUAUAAGGGAAUAAAGUGCGGGACGUGUCCCGUUUUGAAUGUAUCUUAUGAAUAAGGAUCGGCUAACUCCGUGCCAGCAGCCGCGGUAAUACGGAGGAUUCGAGCGUUAUCCGGAUUUAUUGGGUUUAAAGGGUGCGUAGGCGGUCUUUUAAGUCAGCGGUGAAAGUCUGUGGCUCAACCUUGGAAUUGCCGUUGAAACUGGGAGGCUUGAGUGUGUUUGAGGUAGGCGGAAUGCGUGGUGUAGCGGUGAAAUGCUUAGAUAUCACGCAGAACCCCGAUUGCGAAGGAAGCCUGCCAAGCCAUGACUGACGCUGAGGCACGAAAGCGUGGGGAUCAAACAGGAUUAGAUACCCUGGUAGUC